GAGUAGCACUUGUACAACUGUGAAUCAGAAGUCUCAACUGUAUGUGCGUGCGUGCGAGUGUGUGCUGUGUGUGCGUGCGUUAGUGUGUGUGUUGUGUGUGGGUGUGUUAGUGGGUGGCCUCGUGUUUGGUACUUAAAGACCUAAUGGCGUUUGAGAGAGCAACUUACUUCUUUGUCCGUGGAACCACGUCUUCACAGCAAAUCUAAAAUGGAGGCAGACCUGAAGCAUCUCAUUCUGAUGUGAUUAAACAAAAUGGGGUACCUGGCCUUAAUCAUUUCGAGUUUGCAUGAGUGAUCUAAAGACACGCAAUGAUCAAAAGGAAGAGGAUGCGGCCUGUUGAUGAGGCAACUUCACACAUUUAGUCAUGGAGGGACAAGCCAUUGUUUGUGGAAAGAUUCAUUGAUAGGUAGAGGAGUGUUCACCACCCAGCCCAUUCAAUCGGGUGCUUUCGUGUUGGAGUACAGGGGUGAACUUUUAUCAUUGGAAGAAAGCCAGUCAAGAAACUACUUAGUGUACUUUUCUGUUUGAAUUUGAAUGGCAGAAACGUAACUGGUGUAUUAUUGCAACCAGGGAAGAUGGAUUUCUUGGAAGAUUAGUAAAUGAGAACCACAAAUCUCCAAACUGCAUAAGGAAAACAAUCUUAGUAAAUGGCAUGCAACAUUUGUGCCUAUUUGUUGUACAAACAAUAGAAGCAGGGACUGAAAUCAAUUACAACUAUGGGGAUUCAAAAUGGCCAUGGCGUGAAAAAGUGACAAACACACUUGCUCCUGCUGUGGGAGAAGAGACGGAGGCGUGCCUUCACCAUACAACUUCCCAUGAUUAUGCGAAAGGAAAUGACUUUCAGUAUCGAAACUCCAGUUGUUAGGCAUCAGGUCGCGCAUCCUGAGCUGUUGCAUGUUUAUAACCAAGAUUUUGUAUGUGAUCCAUUGCAGCCCCCUGUGUGUUAUUGAGACAUCUAGAAAAGACCAUGUCGUGCAACUAGCUUUAAGUGAUGCUAAUUCAGAAAUUGGUUUUAGUUGUGACAUUUGUAGAUAUCCAUUUCAACGAUCUUGACCAGAUCUUAAUGAGUUCUGGCUUUUCUAUCUUGCAGGCUCCUGCUGUGGGAGUAGAGACUGAGGCGUGCCUUAACCAUACACUUCCCAUGAUGCGAAAGGAAAUUAUGCUAGCAGGAAGUCCCUGUUUUUCUCACUCCACUGAUGAGGGAAUUGCUCGAUAUUUUCAUUUAGAUGCAAGAAAAACGUGGUGUGCUGAAAGAACACCACUGGAUUCUUGUUUGCGUUGCCAAAUUAGUUAAUUACAUCAGGGGUUGAGACUGCAUAAGACAGUUUGUGCAUGAAUGUGUUGAUGUCAAAUACCGCAAAGCACUAACCUCAACGAAACUGAGAAAGCACAUUGCAACUCUUUCAACCGUUCUGAAUGUCAAGACUACAGACUUUUUUGUUUGUUUGUUUGUUUAGUUGUCAAACAGUGGUCUCACAAAGGUUUCAGACCCUUCACAUUUUACACUGUUAGAACCUGGAAGUAAAAUCAUCUUGAGAUUGUUUCUCAUUCAUACUCUCAAUUCAAAGUCAUAACACUGGUUUAUUAAGUUAGUAAGUUCAUAAAUGGCUAAAUUGUUUCAGAAGUUACACCAACCACAGAUUUUUUUUAUUUUAGAGCAUGAUUCUCCUAUCCUGGUACUCAAGGGCCGCUGUCCUGCAUGUUUUAGAUGUUUCCCUGCUCCAGCACACCUCUU